rnacentral:rRNA from 1 species
ACGGGUGAGGAAUGCGUCGGAAUCUGCCUCUUUGUGGGGGAUAACGUAGGGAAACUUACGCUAAUACCGCAUACGACCUACGGGUGAAAGCCGGGGACCUUCGGGCCUGGCGCAGAGAGAUGAGCCGACGCCGGAUUAGCUAGUUGGCGGGGUAAAGGCCCACCAAGGCGACGAUCCGUAGCUGGUCUGAGAGGAUGAUCAGCCACACUGGAACUGAGACACGGUCCAGACUCCUACGGGAGGCAGCAGUGGGGAAUAUUGGACAAUGGGCGCAAGCCUGAUCCAGCCAUGCCGCGUGUGUGAAGAAGGCCUUCGGGUUGUAAAGCACUUUUGUCCGGAAAGAAAAGCCUGGGGCUAAUACCCUCGGGUUAUGACGGUACCGGAAGAAUAAGCACCGGCUAACUUCGUGCCGGCAGCCGCGGUAAUACGAAGGGUGCAAGCGUUACUCGGAAUUACUGGGCGUAAAGCGUGCGUAGGUGGUUUGUUAAGUCUGAUGUGAAAGCCCUGGGCUCAACCUGGGAACUGCAUUGGAUACUGGCUUACUAGAGUGCGGUAGAGGGGUGUGGAAUUCCCGGUGU